rnacentral:rRNA from 2 species
GACGGGGGCCCGCACAAGCGGUGGAGCAUGUGGUUUAAUUCGAUGCAACGCGAAGAACCUUACCUGGUCUUGACAUCCACGGAAGUUUUCAGAGAUGAGAAUGUGCCUUCGGGAACCGUGAGACAGGUGCUGCAUGGCUGUCGUCAGCUCGUGUUGUGAAAUGUUGGGUUAAGUCCCGCAACGAGCGCAACCCUUAUCCUUUGUUGCCAGCGGUCCGGCCGGGAACUCAAAGGAGACUGCCAGUGAUAAACUGGAGGAAGGUGGGGAUGACGUCAAGUCAUCAUGGCCCUUACGACCAGGGCUACACACGUGCUACAAUGGCGCAUACAAAGAGAAGCGACCUCGCGAGAGCAAGCGGACCUCAUAAAGUGCGUCGUAGUCCGGAUUGGAGUCUGCAACUCGACUCCAUGAAGUCGGAAUCGCUAGUAAUCGUGGAUCAGAAUGCCACGGUGAAUACGUUCCCGGGCCUUGUACACACCGCCCGUCACACCAUGGGAGUGGGUUGCAAAAGAAGUAGGUAGCUUAACCUUCGGGAGGGCGCUUACCACUUUGUGAUUCAUGACUGGGGUGAAGUCGUAACAAGGUAACCGUAGGGGAACCUGCGGUUGGAUCAC